rnacentral:rRNA from 1 species
GGGAAUAUUGGACAAUGGGCGCAAGCCUGAUCCAGCCAUGCCGCGUGUGUGAAGAAGGCCUUAGGGUUGUAAAGCACUUUCAGUGGGGAGAAAGGUUAUUCACCUAAUACGUGAGUAAAUUGAUGUUACCCACAGAAGAAGCACCGGCUAACUCCGUGCCAGCAGCCGCGGUAAUACGUAGGGAGCAAGCGUUGUUCGGAUUUACUGGGCGUAAAGGGCGCGUAGGCGGCCUGUCAAGUCAAUUGUGAAAUCUCCGAGCUUAACUCGGAACGGUCAAUUGAUACUGUCAGGCUAGAGUGCAGAAAGGGCAAUCGGAAUUCUUGGUGUAGCGGUGAAAUGCGUAGAUAUCAAGAGGAACACCUGAGGCGAAGGCGGGUUGCUAGGCUGACACUGACGCUGAGGCGCGAAAGCCAGGGGAGCAAA